AUAAUAUUGUACGUUUUAGUUUAAUUUUAAAUUCUCAUCUACCGUCAAUCACUAGUUUAUUGGGGAUUAGUCAUUGUUUUAUUAAAGAUAAUGUGAAAUGAUAUCUUAAUUAAGUGCCAAAAACCGUUCACAAGGACUCCCCAACCGUUAAAGGCGAAUCUUAUAAGGAAGGGACAAGGGCUUAAGCAGCUUUCCUCCUCCUCCCUCAAAUGAAUUGGUAUAUUAUAUUUAUGGUAAACGAUUC